GACGAACGCUGGCGGCGUGCUUAACACAUGCAAGUCGAACAGAGUGGCGAACGGGUGAGUAAAACGUGGGUGAUCUGCCUUGCACUUCGGGAUAAGCUUGGGAAACUGGGUCUAAUACCGGAUAGUGCAAGAUGAGCUCGCGGCCUAGCAGCUUGUUGGGGGGGUAAUGGCGUACCAAGGGGUCGCCGGGUAGCCGGCCUGAGAGGGUGUACGGCCACAUUGGGCCUGAGAUACGGCCCAGACUCCAACGGGGGGCAGCAGUGGGGAGUAUUGCACAAUGAGCGGAAGUCUGAUGCAGCGACGCGGCGGGGGUAAUGAAGGCCUUCGGGUUGUAAACUCCUUUCGACAGGGACGCGGUACCUGUAGAAGAAGCACCGGCUAACUACGUGCCAGCAGCCGCGGUAAUAC
rnacentral:rRNA from 1 species